UACGUAGGUGGCGAGCGUUGUCCGGAUUUACUGGGCGUAAAGGGAGCGUAGGUGGACUUUUAAGUGAGAUGUGAAAUACCCGGGCUCAACUUGGGUGCUGCAUUUCAAACUGGAAGUCUAGAGUGCAGGAGAGGAGAAUGGAAUUCCUAGUGUAGCGGUGAAGUGCGUAGAGAUUAGGAAGAACACCAGUGGCGAAGGCGAUUCUCUGGACUGUAACUGACGCUGAGGCUCGAAAGCGUGGGGAGCAAACAGGAUUAGAUACCCGUGUA
rnacentral:rRNA from 1 species